CCAUGUGCACCAUUUUCAAGGAGGCUGAAGAUGACAGACAACGCUGACCAGGCGACCACAGCCCUCCUGCAUGUGUCUGGGGGCCCAGCCCAUGAAGUAGCCCUCCUGCACGUGUCUGCACAGACUUGGUCUGUAGCACUGUCAUCUAAGCCCAGGGUUUGUCCAGCGAGCAGAAGGACCACAGGAGAGUGGCAGAAUGAAAAGAUUUGAGCUUCGGAGCUACCUGGCCCUUGCACCUGGGCCAUGGCAGCAGAGGUCACGGAGAUGAAGCUGUCCCCUGCCUCCGGCCCGUGGCACUGGCUGUCCUAUGAUUGGCUGUGAAGUCAAGUGAAUGCCCAGGUGAUACGUGGUUUCUGUGUGUGCUUUCCUAGG
rnacentral:lncRNA from 1 species